GUUUCAGCAGCCGCGGUAAUACGUAGGGUGCGAGCGUUAUCCGGAAUUAUUGGGCGUAAAGAGCUCGUAGGCGGUUUGUCGCGUCUGUCGUGAAAGUCCGGGGCUUAACCCCGGAUCUGCGGUGGGUACGGGCAGACUAGAGUGCAGUAGGGGAGACUGGAAUUCCUGGUGUAGCGGUGGAAUGCGCAGAUAUCAGGAGGAACACCGAUGGCGAAGGCAGGUCUCUGGGCUGUAACUGACGCUGAGGAGCGAAAGCAUGGGGAGCGAACAGGAUUAGAUACCCUGGUAGUCCAUGCCGUAAACGUUGGGCACUAGGUGUGGGGACCAUUCCACGGUUUCCGCGCCGCAGCUAACGCAUUAAGUGCCCCGCCUGGGGAGUACGGCCGCAAGGCUAAAACUCAAAGGAAUUGACGGGGGCCCGCACAAGCGGCGGAGCAUGCGGAUUAAUUCGAUGCAACGCGAAGAACCUUACCAAGGCUUGACAUGUUCUCGAUCGCCGUAGAGAUACGGUUUCCCCUUUGGGGUGGGUUCACAGGUGGUGCAUGGUUGUCGUCAGCUCGUGUCGUGAGAUGUUGGGUUAAGUCCCGCAACGAGCGCAACCCUCGUUCCAUGUUGCCAGCACGUCGUGGUGGGGACUCAUGGGAGACUGCCGGGGUCAACUCGGAGGAAGGUGAGGACGACGUCAAAUCAUCAUGCCCCUUAUGUCUUGGGCUUCACGCAUGCUACAAUGGCCGGUACAAUGGGUUGCGAUACUGUGAGGUGGAGCUAAUCCCAAAAAGCCGGUCUCAGUUCGGAUUGGGGUCUGCAACUCGACCCCAUGAAGUCGGAGUCGCUAGUAAUCGCAGAUCAGCAGCCGCGGUGAAUACGUUCCCGGGCCUUGUACACACCGCCCGUCAAAC
rnacentral:rRNA from 1 species